AAGCGUGCGCAGGCGGUUUUGUAAGACUGUCGUGAAAUCCCCGGGCUCAACCUGGGAAUGGCGAUGGUGACUGCAAGGCUAGAGUUUGGCAGAGGGGGGUAGGAAUUCCACGUGUAGCAGUGAAAUGCGUAGAUAUGUGGAGGAACACCGAUGGCGAAGGCAGCCCCCUGGGUCAAAACUGACGCUCAUGCACGAAAGCGUGGGGAGCAAACAGGAUUAGAUACCCCUGU
rnacentral:rRNA from 1 species